UACGUAGGGUGCAAGCGUUGUCCGGAAUUAUUGGGCGUAAAGAGCUCGUAGGCGGUUUGUCGCGUCUGCUGUGAAAACGCGAGGCUCAACCUCGCGCCUGCAGUGGGUACGGGCAGACUAGAGUGCGGUAGGGGAGAUUGGAAUUCCUGGUGUAGCGGUGGAAUGCGCAGAUAUCAGGAGGAACACCGAUGGCGAAGGCAGAUCUCUGGGCCGUAACUGACGCUGAGGCGCGAAAGCUAGGGGAGCAAACAGG
rnacentral:rRNA from 1 species